rnacentral:rRNA from 1 species
GACGAACGCUGGCGGCGUGCUUAACACAUGCAAGUCGAGCGGUAAGGCCCUUUCGGGGGCACACGAGCGGCGAACGGGUGAGUAACACGUGGGUGACCUGCCCUCAGCUCUGGGAUAAGCCUGGGAAACUGGGUCUAAUACUGGAUAUGACUCCACGGUGCAUGUCGUGGGGUGGAAAGCCUUGUGCGGCUGAGGAUGGGCCCGCGGCCUAUCAGCUUGUUGGGGGGUGAUGGCCUACCAAGGCGGUGACGGGUAGCCGGCCUGAGAGGGCGACCGGCCACACUGGGACUGAGACACGGCCCAGACUCCUACGGGAGGCAGCAGUGGGGAAUCUUGCGCAAUGGGCGAAAGCCUGACGCAGCGACGCCGCGUGAGGGAUGACGGCCUGG